rnacentral:rRNA from 1 species
CCUACGGGUGGCAGCAGUGAGGAAUAUUGGUCAAUGGGCGCUAGUCUGAACCAGCCAAGCCGCGUGAAGGAUGACGGCUCUAUGAGUUGUAAACUUCUUUUGUAUGGGAAUAAAUACCGGUAUGUGUACCGGGUUGCAUGUACCGUAUGAAUAAGGAUCGGCUAACUCCGUGCCAGCAGCCGCGGUAAUACGGAGGAUUCGAGCGUUAUCCGGAUUUAUUGGGUUUAAAGGGUGCGUAGGCGGUUUGUUAAGUCAGUGGUGAAAUCUAGGGGCUCAACCCUGGCAUUGCAGUUGAUACUGGCAUCCUUGAGUACAGUAGAGGUAGGCGGAAUGCGUGGUGUAGCGGUGAAAUGCAUAGAUAUCACGAAGAACUCCGAUUGCGAAGGCAGCCUGCCGGACUGUAACUGACGCUGAUGCACGAAAGUGUGGGGAGCAAACAGGAUUAGAUACCCCAGUAGUC